rnacentral:misc_RNA from 1 species
GAUGAAGAACGUAGCGAAAUGCGAUAAGUAGUGUGAAUUGCAGAAUUCAGUGAAUCAUCGAAUCUUUGAACGCACAUUGCGCCCCUUGGUAUUCCAUGGGGCAUGCCUGUUCGAGCGUCAUUUGUACCUUCAAGCUUUGCUUGGUGUUGGGUGUUUGUCCAUUCUCUUGCAGAGGGACUCUCCUUAAAGUAAUUGGCAGCCAGUGUUUUGGUUUUGAAGCGCAGCACAAGUCGCGAUUCAACGCUAUACGCCAGCUUCCACAAGCCUUUUUCACUUUUGACCUCGGAUCAGGUAGGGAUACCCGCUGAACUUAAGCAUAUCAAUAAGCGGAGGA